UCCGGGGUAACUCAAUUGGCAGAGUACUCGGCUGUUAACCGAGGUGUUGUGGGUUCGAGUCCCACCCCCGGAG
rnacentral:tRNA from 2 species